rnacentral:lncRNA from 1 species
GAUCUUGAACCGAUAAGCAUUAUCAGGGACACAAGGAAGUGGUGAAGAUGUAAUCUAUCGGUACCUUAUUUUUUUAAGCUCUGUGCUAUUUUUUUUUUUAAGUUCAAAAUAAUGUAAUGAAGGCUUGGUUAUUGUUUCUUUUGGCUGAUUUAUUGUUCAAUUACGGCUGCAUUACUGUUUUAUCAUGGCUGAUUUAUUAUGCAUUAAACACUUGAAAAAAGAGGUUCAUUUACGUGCAUUGCAAAACGUUCAGAUUUCUUAGUUUACAUGCAGACAUGUAAAACGUCAAUUACAAACCAACGGAUGGAGUAAUAAUUAGCAUCGAUAUUCUCAUAUCGUUGGCUG